rnacentral:misc_RNA from 1 species
GAAAUGCGAUAAGUAGUGUGAAUUGCAGAAUUCAGUGAAUCAUCGAAUCUUUGAACGCACAUUGCGUCCCUCGGUAUUCCGUGGGGCAUGCCUGUUCGAGCGUCAUCUACACCCUCAAGCUCUGCUUGGUGUUGGGCGUCUGUCCCGCCUCCUUCGCGCGCGGACUCGCCCCAAAUCCAUUGGCGGCGGCCCUUGCCUCCCUCUCGCGCAGCACAUUGCGCUUCUCGAGGCGCGGCGGACCGCGUCCAGCAAGCAACCGUCACACCGUCUUUGACCUCGGAUCAGGUAGGGAUACCCGCUGAACUUAAGC